GGGGGCGUCGGCGAAUCCGGUCCAGCCACCAGCUUCAAAACCUGGGGAUCGAAAGAUCAUUGUGGGUUCGAAUCCCACCGCCCCUA
rnacentral:tRNA from 1 species